GCAUUGGUGGUUUAGUGGUAGAAUUCUCGCCUCCCACGCAGGGUACCCAGCUUUGAUUCCUGGCCAAUGCC
rnacentral:tRNA from 1 species